CUGCAGGUUCCACUCCUUUGUAGUCAAAACUCAAGACGAUAAGGAACACUGUGUGGAUCCAGGUGCUCUGUGGUUCGCACUUCAGAGAAUAGUGGGAAAUGUGAAGUGUCCCGUCGUCAAGCCCAAAUGCAUAUUUGAAGACUUGCUGCCACAAUUGUGUGCUUUACUGUAACCUGAUUCUACUGCAAUAUAAAGAUGG